rnacentral:rRNA from 1 species
CAGUAGCCGCGGUAACACGAAGGGGGCUAGCGUUGUUCGGAUUUACUGGGCGUAAAGCGCACGUAGGCGGACUUUUAAGUCAGGGGUGAAAUCCCGGGGCUCAACCCCGGAACUGCCUUUGAUACUGGAAGUCUUGAGUAUGGUAGAGGUGAGUGGAAUUCCGAGUGUAGAGGUGAAAUUCGUAGAUAUUCGGAGGAACACCAGUGGCGAAGGCGGCUCACUGGACCAUUACUGACGCUGAGGUGCGAAAGCGUGGGGAGCAAACAGGAUUAGAGACCCCUGUAGUCCCUGUCUCUUAUAC